GACGAACGCUGGCGGCGUGCUUAACACAUGCAAGUCGAACGGUAAGGCCCUGCUUUUUUGGGGUGCUCGAGUGGCGAACGGGUGAGUAACACGUGAGUAACCUGCCCUUGACUUUGCUAUAACUUCACCAAACUGGGGCUAAUACCGGAUAGGAGCUCCUGCUGCAUUGUCGGGGUUGGAAUGUUUCGGCGGUUGGGGAUGGACUCGCGGCUUAUCAGCUUGUUGGUGGGGUAGUGGCUUACCAAGGCUUUGACGGGUAGCCGGCCUGAGAGGGUGACCGGCCACAUUGGGACUGAGAUACGGGCCAGACGCCUACGGGAGGGAGCAGUGGGGAAUAUUGCACAACGGGCGGAAGCCUGAUGCAGCAACGCCGCGUGCGGGAUGACGGCCUUCGGGUUGUAAACCGCGUUCGCCUGGGACGAAGCGUGAGUGACGGUAAUGGGUAAAGAAGCACCGGCUAACUACGUG
rnacentral:rRNA from 1 species